GAUGAAGAACGCAGCGAAAUGCGAUAAGUAAUGUGAAUUGCAGAAUUCAGUGAAUCAUCGAAUCUUUGAACGCACAUUGCGCCUGCCAGUAUUCUGGCGGGCAUGCCUGUUCGAGCGUCAUUUCAACCAUCAAGCCCCAGGCUUGUGUUGGGGACCUGCGGCUGCCGCAGGCCCUGAAAACCAGUGGCGGGCUCGCUGUCACACCGGGCGUAGUAGAUUUUAUCUCGCUCUGGGCGUGCUGCGGGUUCCGGCCGUUAAAAAACCCUUUUAACCCAAGGUUGACCUCGGAUCAGGUAGGAAUACCCGCUGAACUUAAGCAUAUCAAUAAGCGGAGGA
rnacentral:misc_RNA from 1 species